UUUUUGGGGCCCUUGGAUUUGAAAUGUACCUUUAUUAAUGACUGUGCUACCUGAGCAACAUCAGAAACUUCUCUACCUGUGUCAACAUCUACUAGGUCCCCCUUGCCUUCAGAUGGUGGAGAAUGAUGCCUUAGACCCAGACCUGGAGUUGCCACCCUGUCCCAGCAUGAACUGCCUGCUAUUACCAUGCACCAGGGUUCUGAUUCCUUGACCUGUUUGUAGGGCUAGAUAGUGAAGACACAAUACUUCUUCCUUAUCCUGUUCACCCCUAUCCCUCACCUCCAUUUGUCUUCCCUGUUCUUUUCUUUAGGGGGAGGGGCGGCACCACAGGUGAAGCCCUUUGUCCCCACUAGGCGUGGUCCAGGUGGUGGGUGGAGUGUGCGGUUUCAAGGAAGGAAAAUGUAGCAGCUGGAGCUCUUAAGGUAGGACACGCAGUGUUUAGGGAGAGUAGGAGAAACCAGAUGGAAGGGCAGGAAAAGAUAGGGUUGGAGGCGCGUUGCGUCAGGGGCGGCUCAGAAAAUAGGAGAGGAAGUGGCUCUCGCGGGAUCUCACGAGUUCCAGAGGCAUGCCAGGGGAAUCCUGGGAGGAGAAUCUGCCGGGAGCCGUGGGUCCCCGAGGCUCCUUCUCUCUGUGUUUUCCAUAAAAACGUCUGGCGCACCCCACCUAAGAAGCAAGCCCCAGUUCUGGUGGAGGCCUUGCUACCCUACUCCCCACUCGAGUCACAGUUCAGCGGUUCCUCUUCCAAGGGGCGCGGCGAGAUUUGCCUCGUGGUGAGAACCUGCUGUGUAUCCUGUUUACAAGGUGCUUGGGGAACUUCUACUCAUGGAAUUUAG
rnacentral:lncRNA from 1 species